rnacentral:rRNA from 1 species
GACGAACGCUGGCGGCGUGCUUAACACAUGCAAGUCGAACGGAAAGGCCCUGCUUUUGUGGGGUGCUCGAUUGGCGAACGGGUGAGUAACACGUGAGUAACCUGCCCUUGACUUUGGGAUAACUUCAGGAAACUCGGGCUAAUACCGGAUAGGAUCUCCUGCUGCAUGGUGGGGGUUGGAAAGUUUCGGCGGUUGGGGAUGGACUCGCGGCUUAUCAGCUUGUUGGUGGGGUAGUGGCUUACCAAGGCUUUGACGGGUAGCCGGCCUGAGAGGGUGACCGGGCACAUUGGGACUGAGAGACGGACCAGAAGCCUACGUGAGGCAGCAGGCGGGAAUAUUGCAGAAUGGGCGGAAGCCUGAUACAGCGACGCCGCGUGCGGGAUGACGGCCUUCGGGUUAUAAACCGCUUUGGCCUGUGACGAAGCGUGAGUGACGGUAAUGGGUAAAGAAGCACCGGCUAACUACGUG